GAUGAACGCUGGCGGCGUGCCUAAUACAUGCAAGUCGAGCGAACAGACGGGGAGCUUGCUCCUCUGACGUUAGCGGCGGACGGGUGAGUAACACGUGGAUAACCUACCUAUAAGACUGGGAUAACUUCGGGAAACCGGAGCUAAUACCGGAUAAUAUAUUGAACCGCAUGGUUCAAUAGUGAAAGACGGUUUUGCUGUCACGUAUAGAUGGAUCCGAGCCGCAUUAGCUAGUUGGUAAGGUAACGGCUUACCAAGGCAACGAUGCGUAGCCGACCUGAGAGGGUGAUCGGCCACACUGGAACUGAGACACGGUCCAGACUCCUACGGGAGGCAGCAGUAGGGAAUCUUCCGCAACGGGCGAAGGCCUGACGGAGCAACGCCGCGUGAGUGAUGAAGGUCUUCGGAUCGUAAAACUCUGUUAUUAGGGAAGAACAAAUGUGUAAGUAACUAUGCACGUCUUGACGGUACCUAAUCAGAAAGCCACGGCUAACUACGUGCCAGCCGCCGCAGUAAGAC
rnacentral:rRNA from 1 species